CGAAUGCUGACAUAAGUAACGAUAAAGCGGGUGAAAAGCCCGCUCGCCGGAAGACCAAGGGUUCCUGUCCAACGUUAAUCGGGGCAGGGUGAGUCGACCCCUAAGGCGAGGCCGAAAGGCGUAGUCGAUGGGAAACAGGUUAAUAUUCCUGUACUUGGUGUUACUGCGAAGGGGGGACGGAGAAGGCUAUGUUGGCCGGGCGACGGUUGUCCCGGUUUAAGCGUGUAGGCUGGUUUUCCAGGCAAAUCCGGAAAAUCAAGGCUGAGGCGUGAUGACGAGGCACUACGGUGCUGAAGCAACAAAUGCCCUGCUUCCAGGAAAAGCCUCUAAGCAUCAGGUAACAUCAAAUCGUACCCCAAACCGACACAGGUGGUCAGGUAGAGAAUACCAAGGCGCUUGAGAGAACUCGGGUGAAGGAACUAGGCAAAAUGGUGCCGUAACUUCGGGAGAAGGCACGCUGAUAUGUAGGUGAAGCGACUUGCUCGUGGAGCUGAAAUCAGUCGAAGAUACCAGCUGGCUGCAACUGUUUAUUAAAAACACAGCACUGUGCAAACACGAAAGUGGACGUAUACGGUGUGACGCCUGCCCGGUGCCGGAAGGUUAAUUGAUGGGGUUAGCGGUAACGCGAAGCUCUUGAUCGAAGCCCCGGUAAACGGCGGCCGUAACUAUAACGGUCCUAAGGUAGCGAAAUUCCUUGUCGGGUAAGUUCCGACCUGCACGAAUGGCGUAAUGAUGGCCAGGCUGUCUCCACCCGAGACUCAGUGAAAUUGAACUCGCUGUGAAGAUGCAGUGUACCCGCGGCAAGACGGAAAGACCCCGUGAACCUUUACUAUAGCUUGACACUGAACAUUGAGCCUUGAUGUGUAGGAUAGGUGGGAGGCUUUGAAGUGUGGACGCCAGUCUGCAUGGAGCCGACCUUGAAAUACCACCCUUUAAUGUUUGAUGUUCUAACGUUGGCCCCUAAUCGGGGUUGCGGACAGUGUCUGGUGGGUAGUUUGACUGGGGCGGUCUCCUCCUAAAGAGUAACGGAGGAGCACGAAGGUUGGCUAAUCCUGGUCGGACAUCAGGAGGUUAGUGCAAUGGCAUAAGCCAGCUUGACUGCGAGCGUGACGGCGCGAGCAGGUGCGAAAGCAGGUCAUAGUGAUCCGGUGGUUCUGAAUGGAAGGGCCAUCGCUCAACGGAUAAAAGGUACUCCGGGGAUAACAGGCUGAUACCGCCCAAGAGUUCAUAUCGACGGCGGUGUUUGGCACCUCGAUGUCGGCUCAUCACAUCCUGGGGCUGAAGUAGGUCCCAAGGGUAUGGCUGUUCGCCAUUUAAAGUGGUACGCGAGCUGGGUUUAGAACGUCGUGAGACAGUUCGGUCCCUAUCUGCCGUGGGCGCUGGAGAACUGAGGGGGGCUGCUCCUAGUACGAGAGGACCGGAGUGGACGCAUCACUGGUGUUCGGGUUGUCAUGCCAAUGGCACUGCCCGGUAGCUAAAUGCGGAAGAGAUAAGUGCUGAAAGCAUCUAAGCACGAAACUUGCCCCGAGAUGAGUUCUCCCUGACUCCCUGAGAGUCCUGAAGGAACGUUGAAGACGACGACGUUGAUAGGCCGGGUGUGUAAGCGCAGCGAUGCGUUGAGCUAACCGGUACUAAUGAACCGUGAGG
rnacentral:rRNA from 1 species